rnacentral:lncRNA from 1 species
GGAUGGGAGGUUGGGGGUAGGUGGUGGUUGUCUGCUGGUUCUGAGUGUGGGAGGAUGGGAGGAUGGGGGGUAGGUGGUGGUUGUCUGCUGGUUCUGAGUGUGGGAGGGUGGGAGGAUGGGUGGUAGGUGGUGGUUGUCUGCUGGUUCUGAGUGAGGGAGGAUGGAUGGUAGGUGGUGGUUGUCUGCUGGUUCUGAGUGUGGGAGGAUGGGGGAUAGGUGGUGGUUGUCUGCUGGUUCUGAGUGUGGGAGGAUGUGAGGAUGGGGGGUAGGUGGUGGUUGUCUGCUG